GAAGCGUUUGACAGAGGGAUCCCAGAGCAGCUGGCAGUCGUUGCUCAGCACCGGCGCUCCGUUGUGCUCUCAGACAAUCCGGGUUCACCCAGCAAAGCAGCCCCGGAGCAACGCGUGCAGAACGUCGCAGUGCAAACAGCGGAGGGGCGCGGGGAGGAAAUGUAACUCGGGUGAAACCUGGCGCAGAGCUCCGAAGCCGGAGGGUCCGAGAAAGCGGCGCAAAGGGAAGAAAAAGAGCAGCGAGGGCUGUACUUACAGAGCUGGCAGGAAUUUCAUUCAAAGGGAAGAAAGAGGAAAAAAGAAAGAAAAAGGAAGGGGAAAAAAAAAAGAAAGAAACCUCAACAAAUAAAGCCGCGUUCUUAACUCCG
rnacentral:lncRNA from 7 species